rnacentral:lncRNA from 1 species
CAGGCUUGGGCUGCGCCGGGCGGGCGGGGAGCCGGCGGCUCUGUGUGUGUGCGCGCGCGGGGAGCCCGGAGCUGCGGCGGGCAUGAGGUAGGUGAGAGCCCUGAGUAUCUGAGCAAGGCAGCAUGGCAAAAGCCAGUACAGCACCGUGGAUGUCCCAGAGCAGGGAACGGGCCAGGUUGCACAGUGGUGGAAAGGCUGGCAAACCUGAGGUCCAGGAAAAGCAGGGAACAGGCUUGUUACUUCAGGAAACACAGAGGGAGACUCAAAGGAGCUCAGAGCGAAUGUUCCAGUGUGAGGAGGAGGAGGAAGUGAGAUGCGCUCCUGAAAGACUGGAUGGGUCGAGGCAAGAGGAGGAGCUGGUGCCAGGCUAUUUCCAGAAAGAUAGGAAAUGACUUGAGGAUAGACAGCUCCAUUGUGAAACCUCCACCCAGUGCACAAAGGCUGAAGAGCAGAUGGUAGCCAAAGCUGAUCCAGCAACCGAUCCCUGCAUCAUCUGCUCAGUACUACCCUGCUAAGCUGGCCAGUGCUCCUCUCGGGACAGCUCCCUCACAGCCAUUCCCCAUGAAAUUCCUUCACAGAGACUGAAGAAAUAGGAGAGCUGGGGCCCCAGCAAGAUGCACUUGAUGAUUGUAAAAUAGUCUCUCCAUUGCCAUUUUUUUUGUAAAUAUGUUGCUGUGGUCUAGUAUUGAAGCUGGCCUGCAUCUCUGUAUAAUAAAGUAGAU